AUGCAGCUCUGAUAGACCUGGAACAGUUAAUAUCUGCUGUUACAGAUGCAAGCAAAAGAAGAUCCUCAUACUUUCUCUCUGUCUGGUUGUGGCAGUCAGGAUUGAAUGGGGGAAUAUAGGA
rnacentral:snoRNA from 1 species